CCUACGGGGGGCAGCAGUGGGGAAUUUUCCGCAAUGGGCGAAAGCCUGACGGAGCAACGCCGCGUGAGGGAUGAAGGCCUCUGGGCUGUAAACCUCUUUUCUCAAGGAAGAAGAUCUGACGGUACUUGAGGAAUAAGCCACGGCUAAUUCCGUGCCAGCAGCCGCGGUAAUACGGGAGUGGCAAGCGUUAUCCGGAAUUAUUGGGCGUAAAGCGUCCGCAGGCGGCCUUGUAAGUCUGUCGUUAAAGCGUGGAGCUUAACUCCAUUUCAGCGGUGGAAAC
rnacentral:rRNA from 1 species